rnacentral:rRNA from 1 species
GAUGAACGCUGGCGGCGUGCCUAAUACAUGCAAGUCGAGCGAACAGACGAGGAGCUUGCUCCUCUGAUGUUAGCGGCGGACGGGUGAGUAACACGCGGAUAACCUACCUAUAAGACUGGGAUAACUUCGGGAAACCGGAGCUAAUACCGAAUAACAUGUUGAACCGCAUGGUUCAACAGUGAAAGACGGUCUUGCUGUCACUUAUAGAUGGAUCCGCGCCGCAUUAGCUAGUUGGUAAGGUAACGGCUUACCAAGGCAACGAUGCGUAGCCGACCUGAGAGGGUGAUCGGCCACACUGGAACUGAGACACGGUCCAGACUCCUACGGGAGGCAGCAGUAGGGAAUCUUCCGCAAUGGGCGAAAGCCUGACGGAGCAACGCCGCGUGAGUGAAGAAGGUCUUCGGAUCGUAAAACUCUGUUAUUAGGGAAGAACAAAUGUGUAAGUAACUAUGCACGUCUUGACGGUACCUAAUCAGAAAGCCACGGCUAACUACGUG